AGAGUUUGAUCCUGGCUCAGGAUGAACGCUGGCGGCGUGCUUAACACAUGCAAGUCGAACGAAGAGGGUUAGAAUGAGAGCUUCGGCAGGAUUUCUUUCCAUCUUAGUGGCGGACGGGUGAGUAACGUGUGGGCAACCUGCCCUGUACUGUGGAAUAAUCAUUGGAAACGAUGACUAAUACCGCAUGUGGUCCUCGGAAGGCAUCUUCUGAGGAAGAAAGGAUUUAUUCGGUACAGGAUGGGCCCGCAUCUGAUUAGCUAGUUGGUGAGAUAACAGCCCACCAAGGCGACGAUCAGUAGCCGACCUGAGAGGGUGAUCGGCCACAUUGGGACUGAGACACGGCCCAAACUCCUACGGGAGGCAGCAGUGGGGAAUAUUGCACAAUGGGCGAAAGCCUGAUGCAGCGACGCCGCGUGAGUGAAGAAGUAUCUCGGUAUGUAAAGCUCUAUCAGCAGGGAAGAAAAUGACGGUACCUGACUAAGAAGCCCCGGCUAACUACGUGCCAGCAGCCGCGGUAAUACGUAGGGGGCAAGCGUUAUCCGGAAUUACUGGGUGUAAAGGGAGCGUAGGCGGCAUGGUAAGCCAGAUGUGAAAGCCUUGGGCUUAACCCGAGGAUUGCAUUUGGAACUAUCAAGCUAGAGUACAGGAGAGGAAAGCGGAAUUCCUAGUGUAGCGGUGAAAUGCGUAGAUAUUAGGAAGAACACCAGUGGCGAAGGCGGCUUUCUGGACUGAAACUGACGCUGAGGCUCGAAAGCGUGGGGAGCAAACAGGAUUAGAUACCCUGGUAGUCCACGCC
rnacentral:rRNA from 1 species